rnacentral:rRNA from 1 species
AACGAACGCUGGCGGCAUGCCUAACACAUGCAAGUCGAACGAUUGCCUUCGGGUGAUAGUGGCGCACGGGUGCGUAACGCGUGGGAAUCUGCCCUUAGGUUCGGAAUAACAGCUGGAAACGGCUGCUAAUACCGGAUGAUAUCGCGAGAUCAAAGAUUUAUCGCCUGAGGAUGAGCCCGCGUUGGAUUAGGUAGUUGGUGGGGUAAAGGCCUACCAAGCCGACGAUCCAUAGCUGGUCUGAGAGGAUGAUCAGCCACACUAGGACUGAGACCCGGCCCAGACUCCUACGGGAGGCAGCAGGGGGGAAUAUUGGACAAUGGGCGCGAGCCUGAUCCAGCAAUGCCGCGUGAGUGAUGAAGGCCCUAGGAUUGUAAAGCUCUUUUACCCGGGAAGAUAAUGACUGUACCGGGAGAAUAAGCCCCGGCUAACUCCGUG